CCCUUAGAUGUCCGGGGCUGCACGCGCGCUACACUGAAUGAAUCAGCGUGCUAGAAAACCUUGUUUGACAUGGCUAGGUAACCCAUUGAAAAUCAUUCGUGAUUGGGAUCGGGACUUGCAAAUGUAUCCCUUGAACGAGGAAUUCCCAGUAAGUGCGGGUCAUCAGCUCGCGUUGAUUACGUCCCUGCCCUUUGUACACACCGCCCGUCGCUGCCCGGAACUGAGCCGUUUCGAGAAGACUGAGGAUAGCUGACUUGAGGCCUUCACGGGCUUCUAGUCGGUGAAAAUCAAUUUAAUCGCAGCGGCUUGAACCGGGCAAAAGUCGUAACA
rnacentral:rRNA from 1 species